rnacentral:rRNA from 1 species
UACGGCGGGUGCAAGCGUUAUCCGGAUUCACUGGGUUUAAAGGGUGCGUAGGUGGGCAGGUAAGUCAGUGGUGAAAUCUCCGAGCUUAACUCGGAAACUGCCGUUGAUACUAUUUGUCUUGAAUAUUGUGGAGGUAAGCGGAAUAUGUCAUGUAGCGGUGAAAUGCUUAGAUAUGACAUAGAACACCAAUUGCGAAGGCAGCUUACUACACAACGAUUGACGCUGAGGCACGAAAGCGUGGGGAUCAAACAGG